AAUCAACGCUGGCGGCGUGCCUAACACAUGCAAGUCGAACGCGAAAAGGGCUUCGGCUCUUAGUAGAGUGGCGAACGGGUGAGUAACACGUGGGUGACCUACCUUCGAAUGGGGGAUAACGUCCCGAAAGGGACGCUAAUACCGCAUGACAUCCUGCUUUUGAACAGGUGGAGAUCAAAGCCGGGGAUCGCAAGACCUGGCGUUUGAAGAGGGGCCCGCGUCUGAUUAGCUAGUUGGGAGGUAACGGCCCACCAAGGCGACGAUCAGUAUCCGGCCUGAGAGGGCGGACGGACACACUGGGACUGAGACACGGCCCAGACUCCUACGGGAGCAGCAGUGGGGAAUUGUUCGCAAUGGGCGCAAGCCUGACGACGCAACGCCGCGUGGAGGAUGAAGGUCUUCGGAUUGUAAACUCC
rnacentral:rRNA from 1 species